rnacentral:sRNA from 1 species
AAAUAUCCAAAUUGUGUACGCAUUCAAUUGACUGGAUUAGGCGACAGAGCUCUUCAUGUAGCAGCAAAUGCAGGGAACACUGGUUUUGUUGAAGAGUUGGUUAAGCUUAUGAGGCCAGAAGAUGUGCUAAUACGAAACUCAGAGAAGAUGCUUCCAGUUCACUUAGCUGCUUUAUCUUUCCAUCACAGAAUAGUUCAACUUCUAUGCUCUGACCAUCUGCUUGACAAAAUGGCUUACGAGGAUAUUGAAAACCUCUUUUUUAUGACCAUUAGUAACAACAUGUUUGAUGUGGCCAUUACAUUAUUUGAAAAACAUCCACG